rnacentral:rRNA from 1 species
GACGAACGCUGGCGGCGUGCUUAAUACAUGCAAGUCAUAGGGCUUACUUUCCUUCGGGAGAGUGAGCACUGGCGCACGGGUGAGUAACACGUAAGUCAUCUGCCCUUGGGUCUGGCAUAACAUCGGGAAACCGGUGCUAAUUCCAGAUGAUAUCGAAAGAUCAAAGUUCCGACGCCCAAGGAUGAGCUUGCGUCUGAUUAGCUUGUUGGCGGGGUAAUGGCCCACCAAGGCUACGAUCAGUAGCCGGUCUGAGAGGAUGAUCGGCCACAUUGGGACUGAGACACGGCCCAGACUCCUACGGGAGGCAGCAGUAAGGAAUAUUGCGCAAUGGACGAAAGUCUGACGCAGCAACGCCGCGUGCAGG